CACUAAAAUACGGUAUAGCGGGUAGGUAGUAACGACCGCUGUGCCCUAUUUUAGUACCA
rnacentral:pre_miRNA from 1 species